UCUUACUCAACUGCCCCUUUCCUCUCCCUCAGAAUUUGUGUUUGCUGCCUCUAUCUUGUUUUUUGUUUUUUCUUCUGGGGAGGUCUAGAACAGUGCCUGGCACAUAGUAGGCACUCAAUAAAUACUUGUUUGUUGAAUGUCUCCUCUCUCUUUCCACUCUGGGAAACCUAGGUUUCUGCCAUUCUGGGUGACCCUGUAUUUCCUUCUGGUGCCCAUUCCUUCCAUCUGUCCAGUUAAUAUUUCUCUCUUAAAAAUCUCCAAGAAGCUGGGUCUCAUCCAGAUGCCAUUUAGAACCAACCAGGUGCUGAAAACCCAUGUAGAUAAUGGCCACCAUCCUAAGCCCAAAGUAGAAGAUGGUAGAAGGCAGUGGGUAGAAGUCACUAUAUAAGGAAGGGGAUGGGAUUUUCCAUUCUAAAAGUUUUGGAGAGGGAAAUCCAGGCUAUUAAAGUCACUAAUUUCUAAGUAUGUCCAUUUCCCAUCUCAGCUUCAAGAGAGGUGUCAGCAGUAUUAUCUCCACUUUCAAUCUCCCUCUAAGCUCUACUCUUUGGAGGUGUCUGUCCCACUCUGUCAAGUGGAAUCCUUUCCUUUCCAACUCUACCUCCCUCACUCGAGCUCCUUUCCCCUGAUCAGAGAAAGGGAUCAAGG
rnacentral:lncRNA from 10 species